GCAAGGAUUGUUUCGAUUCGGAUCGGGUCAAUAGGUAACGGAGCCCCCUUAAGCUGUUCAUGUCGCUCUUCACCAAUCGAAAAAGCGAACCCUAGAAUAUUUGCUUGAGAGACUCGGAUUCUUCCUUCUAUUUCCUCUGCAUCCAAUCUCAUUCCACAACCAGACGAGACUCUUCGCCUUCAUUCAGAUAUCGAAAUCAAGCUUCGAUGGCCAUAUUUCGUGCCGCCAUGGACAUGGCCCGACGUGGUGGCAACAGCCUAUUCCGCACCGCCAUGAACAUGUCUCGACGUGGUGUCUCCGGUGUUAACCAUGCCCCUCCUGGAGUUCCUGCUCACCGUGGUUCAAAAUUUACGGCAGAAUAUGCACUGGUUCUAAUUGUUGGAAAUGUCGUGGGAUGGGGAAUUGCUCGCGUUUUGUUUGGUCCUCCUCCACCUAAACGUGACAAAGCAGUGGUUGUUGCAUGAAAACUAUUGAUUAAAAUAGUGUUUGGAGAUAUGGCAUGAAAGAUGAAAUGAUAUUUCGAGCACUUGGGGUUUAUUUCCACAGGUUUUUAUGUAGACUUUCAGAACAAAUGUAUAUUAGAUUUUGAUUGAUUAAUGUUCAGUUCCGCAGUGAAAUGUUGAACUUCUUAUUAUUA